UGAUAAAAAUAAAGAUAAUAUAUUUUGUAAUAGAUAGAUAUCUUUUACGUAAUAAUACGUAAGAACAUGUUAUAUUUUGAGAUAAAAGAUUCUAAAAUCAUAAUUUAUGUAAUUAUGUAUAUACUAUCUAUUGCAUAAUUAAUAGAUCUCGUAAGAUAAGCAGCUAGUUAAUUAUAAUUUUACAGUAUUUAAAGAAUGGAUUUUUCUUUCAAAUACAUUAUCACUAUUGAGAUUAACUCGAAAAAUGUACAAAUUAAUUGCACUUCUCUCAGUCUUUUUAUUUAUUAAUAACACCAACGCUCAAUACAAAAUCACAGAUGGCGUAGUACCACAGACAACAAAACUAACACCACAGAGUCCAACCUACAAAAUAAUAAGGAACGUUCCACCCGCAAGCCUUAUUAAUCCACUAACCCAGUCUUUCAUGAAGCCGAAAAGGUAUACCUUCAGAAGAAUGACAGGUUUAGCUUCAAACCCUACUCAAAGACUCACAAAGAGACAGCAAGUCGCUGAAACUUUAAAACAGAAGGCUAUAAAAAGCUUAAUAGCGGCAAAAACUGUCCUUAAUAAAGAACCUCUAUCUGCCAAUCCACAAAUGAAAAGAAUUAUAUCUGUCUACUAAUACAUUAUACGCUGGACCUGCAAUUGCCGAUCUGUUUUUGAAGCAACUCGAUUUUCGCCAUUUUGGCGCUGAUAGAAGCAGAGAACGUCUUGUGAGCGUAUUCGGAACUAAAUUGUAGUGCUAAGACAUCUGUCAACAUAGUGUCAACAGUCAAUAAAAGUAACAGAACCAGAUAAUGAAGGCGCAACGUUGUUUAGUAUUGUUGAAUACAAAAAUUAACAUGGGCAAAAAUUACAAUUCUGUUCCUUUUAAAAAUUACAAAUUUUUACGAUAAAAAUUAUAUCAAAAUUUAAAAUUUAAAAACGUCUCUGACAUCAUGACAGGGGUUUUUCGUAUAUAAGGUCAUAAAAAAACAUAGUGUCAAGACGAAGACCAUUUUGACACAAAGCGUCAAUUUUAAUUCCCGGUACCCUCAGUGGGGCGCUUCAAAUCGCCACCAAAAUAAAGUUUAAUAAGACUUUGCUUACACUUAAGUUUCAGUUAAAAUGAGAUAGAUUUAUGCCAGUGGUAUAGCGCUGUCUCGUUUUAACAGUGUCUUAAGUCUAGGCAUAGUCGAAGUGUACUCUAUAGAUCUCAGCCUGUCUCUAAGCACACCUUUUUUUCCGCUGGUUUUUUUUUUUAAGCAAUUACGCAUCCCGCACAAAAGCGAGUAUGUGGGACUCACUGGCAAUGCUACAGCAUUCUUCAGCAUACCUUCUAAAAAGCCAAGCGGUACCGUCCGCGUCAAAUAUGAGGCGUCUCAGGAUCCUGGGUAUCGUAUGCGGCUGAAAACGUCUCGACGUUGAACUGGGGCAGGUUUACUAUGGCAUUCCUAUUCUAGCGUACUUGUAUAUUAAUAGCUCUAUUUCAGUGUAACUUCAGUUAGAAAAAUAAUGUUUAAUUGGUGUUAUUUAUUAAUUAAUUUAUUCUAGUAAUAAGUAUUGGAAAACAAUAAAGCUAUUG